GAGAGAUGGGGAAGUUGGGGGAUUUCCAUUAAGGAGAAACCAGAGAAGAUUAAAGGGUGCAGAAGGGUGGUGCUGCCCUUUAAGAAAGGCUGCCAGAGCUCUGGGGCUGAGGCUCUUAAGAAACUUCUGUAGUGUGCCAGGUAAAGUGAGAAAGCUCUUCGGGGGGUCAAAAGAGAAGCUACAAGAGGAGGCCCUAGGCUCCGGCUUUGGGACAAGACACAGCCCUCACCUCUCCUGGGACCCAAGAUUCUGAUACUCUCUAGGAUGAGACCAGCAGACCUUGCAGGAAUGAGGGCACCACUUUCUGGGAUUGUUCCUUUUCUGAUGAAAACCAGAGCAGAAUAGGCCCAAAGGACCAACAGGGCAAGCGCCCAAGGGACUGGAGGACACUGGAGGAGGUGACAAUGUGAGGUGGGGUGGGACCAGCCCUUUAACAUAGUUUAGAAUUUGGGCCUUGCUGGUCAAAAUAAGAUGUAUUUUGUGAGAGUGUGAGGUAACCGCCCUUCAUAAGGAUGAUCUGGAAAAGGUCAAGCGAAGGGCCUUGAAUAGCCCUAAUGCCCCUGAAACAGCCUAUUGUAUAGCUAUUGUCUAUACAUGUAAAGGAACCCUUCUUGACCCUAUUCAUACCUUUUUUUUUUUUUUUGCCUCUGGUGUUUCCCAAGUGAAUAAUGACAUACUACUUAUCCCCAGAAGCAGCCAACCUCCUUUAAGCUUCGGCAACAAAAUAGCUCCACGGCAUGUCUUGAGCUCCUACCAUGUGCCAGGCAUCACACUAGAUGCCGGGGGACAUGGAGAUGAAUACCACAUGGUCUCUUCUCUGGGUAGCCCACAGUCUGCUUUUCAAGAUUUUCCUUCAUGCUGACCUUUUGGGAUUUAAUUAGCACAUUUUCAUCGAUCCCCUUUUAUUUUCCUGUGCAAGGACCAUAUCCCUCAGCCUCCAUCUUUCCACAAUCUUUUAAAUUUUGUCUUGUUUGGUAACACCACUUUUCCCUUGACGGAUUUAGCUUUUUCUCUGGACUCCUGUAUGUCUGCCUUGGGAGCUCAGUGGCCAGGAUUAAGUUCUAUACUUCACACACAGAUGCUACAUGAAGAUGUGAGCAAGAGUAAGGCUCUGUUUUCUAACUUAUUUAUUCAUUUGCCAUUGUUUUGUACACCCAGUGGUUACUGAGUGCCUACUAAGCGCCAUGCACUCGCUGUGCUAGGUGCUGACGAUCAAUGGCAUCGCCCUCAUGAAACCUGUAGUCUGGGGUCUGUGUUCAGCGGGGCAGAAGGUAAGGAAUUCAAGUGUCUAACUACAAACUGAGGAAAGUGUUGUGAAGAAAAGUACAGGGCACUAUAGAAAUGUAGAAACAAGAGGCUUAUCUAGUCUGGAAGCUGUAGGAAAGCAUUCCCUGGGGAAAUGACAUUUGACCUGAGAUCUGGAGGAUUAGUAGACCUAGGAGAAAAAGAAUGCAGAGAAAGAGCAUUCCAGGCAGA